UAAUAUACCCUUUCUUUGUAAACACAAUCAAAACUCAUCUCUUUUGUUCUUCCCUCGUUGUCGUAUCCUCUGAGACUAUCAAUGGUUAUCAAUUUAUUUAUUUAUUCCACAAAAAUUCCAUCUAUUUUAUUUAUUCUCUCUCAAAUUCUCAAUUUUUACUGCUCUAAUCCCAAACUCUUAUUUUUUUUCUCAAUCACAUCCCUUUCUCAGAUAAAACAUCCAAGAGAGUUUCAAUCAUUUUGUGGAGACGCCAUAGACAGAUCUUCGGGCCGCGGAGUGGGAGAAAGAGGAGGAGCUACUCAUCGAUCUCGGCGGUUGAAGUGGGGUAGUGGAUUUUGUGUAUUCUGAGACUUGUUUCUGGGAAUUUGAGUAAGAACCCUAAAAAAUGUGGACGAGAUUGUUGUGGUGUUGUGGACGGGUGGGGUGUGGACAUGAGAAUUGUGGAUGGGUUAAGCGUGUUCAGAGGAGUUGUGUACGAGGGACAUGUGUUUAAGACAGAUGUGUACGGGGGAGUGGUAUACAGGGGAGUUGUGUGUGGGGGAGUUGUGAGGGGAUCUGCAGUUCACUGUCUGAAGUCAAUUGUCGCUGAUAAAAAGUCACAGACUUCCUCCUCUUCCUCGCCGUCGCGCACUGUCUGCAGUCGAUUGUCGCAAACGGAAGGUAAAGUUGUUGGCUUUAACAAGAUAACAUUAUGUGGGGAGGCUCAAAUGUGCAUUUCUCGAGGAUGAUUGUCAGUGACUUGGAUCUUCAUGUUUUGCCUAGAGAAAGAUUGGAUAAGCUCUAGGUUUUGAAGCUUGACAAGUGCUCUUGUUCUCAACUGAUGGACUCAGAGCAUCAUCAGACACGAAGGGAGAGCAGUAAGUUCAAGGAUUGAGAUCUGUGAAUUAACAAAGAUAUUGUUUCAAAUCAUCA